rnacentral:rRNA from 1 species
AAGCUCGUAGUUGAAUUUCGGGAUCAAUAUAUUGGUCGUGCCUUUGGUAUGAACUGGUAUUAUUGAUUUCUACCUUCUGACGAACUGUGAUGUCAUUAAUUUGGUGUCAUGGGGAAUCAGGACUGUUACUUUGAAAAAAUUAGAGUGUUUAAAGCAGGCACACGCUUGAAUACAUUAGCAUGGAAUAAUGAAAUAGGACGUUGAUCCUAUUUUGUUGGUUGUUAGGAUUGACGUAAUGAUUAAUAGGGAUAGUUGGG